AUACGGAGGGUGCAAGCGUUACUCGGAAUCACUGGGCGUAAAGGAUGCGUAGGCUGGAUGUCAAGUUGGAAGUGAAAUCCUAUGGCUUAACCAUAGAACUGCUUCCAAAACUGGCAACCUAGAGUGAGGGAGAGGCAGAUGGAAUUAGUGGUGUAGGGGUAAAAUCCGUAGAUAUCACUAGGAAUACCGAUUGCGAAGGCGAUCUGCUAGAACUCUACUGACGCUAAGGCAUGAAAGCGUGGGGAGCAAACAGGAUUAGAAACCCCAGUAGUCC
rnacentral:rRNA from 1 species